AUUUUAAAAACACAUUAUUAAAGAUCCAGUUCCCUCCUAAUAUUUUGUUCAUGACGGUGUUUCCCCCUUCCAAAUUUUUCAUUUCCCGCGCCAUGUCUUUCCGCCCAAUAUUUUGUUCUUCAUCUCUCACCCAAAGGGCAGACGACAAAGACACAACAGAUACGACGACCUCCUGCUUCUGGCGACUUCCUCCUCCUACUUCGAUACAAAAUCUAAAAACCCUAGCGUCGAUUUUUCUGAUUUUCUAUUCUUAAAUAGUUAAAUGUUUUGAUUUUUCAUUUCUUCGCUGAUUCCUCCUUGUUUUGUCGUAUACACACCUCAAAGACCCUUCUGCUAUAGGUUUUCUUCUCUUUCCAGCCUAUUACAUCAGCGAUCUCAUUGAUUUCUACACACCGGCGCGGUAAGGUAGUCUCUACUCUGGCGCAACAACCCCUUCGAACGACAUAAUUUCAUCAAGUCUAAAAUUCAUGUGGUUAAGUGGUUCAAAGAAUGGUAAUUAAUAAAAAUCCUCUCCUUCUGUCCUUUAAUUAUAUGUACUGUAUGUAAUGUAUGAUUGUGUGGAUGUGAUUGAUUCGCAAAAUCUAAUUGAUCAGUUUUGGUGCAAAUUGAAACAGGUAAAAAUGAGAUAGGGUGUUAGGGUUUAUCCAUUACACUCUAUCUGUUUGUUUAAAUGCCUAAGUCAUCUCCGAACAACAACAAGCAGGUAACCUUGUUAGUUGUGGCGUUCUACAUCUCUUGAUGCCUUUUUCCACUAAAACAAAUCCCCUUUUUUAUAUAGUGUACCACAAGAUGUUGUGUCAAUAGGUGGGCAAAUGCUUGUUUGGGUCCCAGAAGUUCAAUUAAAAGACAUGAAUGAAGAAAAGUCAAAAGAGAUGGAGGCAGUCACAACAGAUGGAUGUUUCAAUCCUCAAGGCUUGCAUUUGAGUUACUUUCUUAGGGUUUAUUCGUUUAUCAUCUAUAAAUUUAAAAUCUAGUUUGCAAACACUAUUGAAAUCAAGGUUUUGGAAAUCUAGCAAAUGGUUCCUUUUUUUUUUGAUUUAAUGGUGUGCUGUGUAGUUACUAUAUCCAAUUGAAAAUAGAUACAAGGAUGAGAAAGUUAGAAAAAAAAAAGCAAUAAUAGCUCUACAAACUUGUAUUCAACAAAAUCAUUUGGCUACAGAUUUACUACUUUUGAUGAGGAUGAAGAGGACAAUUUGUAUAUUUUGAACAGACAAAGGAUUGGGAGAAUAAUUUGUGUCCAAGCUCGCUACCUUUGGUUUGUAUCCAAUCUCUCUGCCUUCAGUCUUAUGAAAACGAGAAUAAUUUUGACAUAGGGAUGUAAACCGUUCCGAAACCUGCCCGAACCGAACCAGAACCAAAAAUGAAAACUGAUGGAUUAGGAGAUUCGAAACUGUACCAAAUACCACUAAUCGGUUCCGGUUUGGUUCCGUUUCACAAAUGCUUAAGGUUCCGCAACUAAAAUAAAGCUAAGUUAAACUAACCCCAUUGGAGCAAGACUACAAGAGUUGCAAGGAGCUAGAGCUCAAAUGAUUAUAUCUUUCUUUGUUUUCUAGAAUUAAAUGCAACUUAUUUGUUAAAUACAUUGAAUCUCGACCACUGUUGUAUUAUGACAUUAUAUGUUUUAAGAUUCAUGGGUUGAUUUU